UACGGAGGGUGCAAGCGUUAAUCGGAAUUACUGGGCGUAAAGCGCACGCAGGUGGCUGAGUCAGUCGAUUGUGAAAGCCCUGGGCUUAACCUGGGAAUUGCAGUCGAUACUACUCAGCUAGAGUAUGGGAGAGGGUAGUGGAAUUCCCGGUGUAGCGGUGAAAUGCGUAGAUAUCUGGAGGAACACCGGUGGCGAAGACGGCAUCCUGGACCGGCAUUGACGCUGAGGAGCGAAAGCCAGGGGAGCAAAGCGGG
rnacentral:rRNA from 1 species